GGACUACACGGGUAUCUAAUCCCGUUUGCUCCCCUAGCUUUCGCGCAUCAGCGUCAGAAGAGGUCCAGCGGGUCGCUUUCGCCACCGGCGUUCCUUCCGAUAUCAACGCAUUUCACCGCUCCACCGGAAGUUCCACCCGCCCCUACCUCACUCCAGACAAGCAGUAUCCAAGGCCCUUUUCCGGUUAAGCCGAAAGCUUUCACCCCGGACUUGCCUGCCCGCCUACGCGCCCUUUAAGCCCAGUGAAUCCGAACAACGUUCGCACGGUUCGUCUUACCGCGGCUGCUGGCAC
rnacentral:rRNA from 3 species